rnacentral:rRNA from 1 species
CCCUUAGAUGUCCGGGGCCGCACGCGCGCUACACUGAAGGAAUCAGCGUGGCUUUCUCCCUGACCCGAAAGGGUUGGGAAACCCGUUGAAUCUCCUUCGUGAUAGGGAUUGGGGCUUGAAAUUGUUCCCCAUGAACGAGGAAUUCCCAGUAAGCGCGAGUCAUAAGCUCGCGUUGAUUACGUCCCUGCCCUUUGUACACACCGCCCGUCGCUACUACAGAUUGAACGGUUUAGUGAGGGCCUCGGAUUGGUCUCGGCCCGCUCUUUACCGGGCGGCGCCGUUGGUCGAGAAGACGCUCGAACUUGAUCGUUUAGAGGAAGUAAAAGUCGUAACA